ensembl:lncRNA
GUAUCCUUAUGUACAAAUACAUACACUCUUUGAGAUGCAGACACUUGUACAAGCGCAUAUAUGCACACAUGCUCACACUGAAGUGCUGUCUGUCUUUAAGACACUCAGACGCAUAACAAAAAGAUACUUAUAUAUAAAUAUAUACACAAGUUUCUCAAAGAGAAAACAGAUGUGACUCACUGCAAAUGUACACCUAUCCUCACUAUGCUGGCCACAUCAUUAUUGCCAUUUGUGUCCAGGAAAGUAUACUUGGACGUAAACAGACACAUGUGACUGUAGUACUCAGCUUAUCAUGUAAAUUGUCCUCUUGAGCUUUCUGCACUGCUGGCUCUGCCACCAAGUGGACUGAUUUAGGGCUCCCCAAUGUUUAGAAAAUUUAAAGAAAAAAUGCAAUCGAGUUUCUCAAAAAGAUGAUUUCUCUAUAAUUUAGUUUAUCGCGUUUGAAUGUUUGGAACGCCCGAACCCACUGACUACACCCUCGGCAAGCGUGCUGUCACAUCAAAUCAAAGGCAUUAGCUGAUAAAAGACUAAAUGACGAGUAGAGCAGCAGUAGUAUUGCAGACCCAGAGGCGGGGGUUUCAGUGAACUGAGCACUGCCAUAAACAAACAAGCAGGCAUUCCUAAAACGAACAGUAUAAGCAUUCAGACAAACCCUAACCCCCAUGCUUGAGCUCAGGGCGAUGGCAUGCGUAUAUUUAAGAGCUAAUCAACCAGUUCAGACAUCCAUAGUACUCUGUAACAUAUGAGGGUAUCAGGGUAUUGGCCCUCAGCUGAGCUUUGGGGAAUUAUUCCCAAACUGAGAUUUGUAAGUGUGCACUGACAUGUUUCGGGUUAAAAAAACAAAACAAAAAAAACCAAUUCCUCUUGAUGCCAAAAGCUGACUGAAAAAGUGACAGACAGUUUAUCAUAAUUUACUUUUUCCUUAUUCUUUGAUUAGCACAUAGAGAAAUGGUUUUUUUAAAGAGAAAAAAAAAGCGAGAAAAUAAAUAAGGUUACUGUGUGCAAAGAACUGCAAUGCCUCUGUCCUUAGUUCAGUUUACAUUUUGAGAGCUUCUUGUAAGUCCGUGUUUGUGUGUGAGAUAUAUUUUCACACACACACAAACACGUGACCACCACCUCCCAUCCACGGUGGGACCCAGCUUAAUUUCCUCUUCUUCAACAGAGAUUCUGAUUUUCUGAAAGAGAAUGAAAGCAUAAUC